GUCAAUGGUCAAAAAAAAAGGUUGACUAAUGGUCACAGCUUUCUAGGUUCAUCUCAUAGACAAAAAUUGCAUAGCUCUCUCCUGAUUCCUCACUCUCAACUCUGAAUCUUACACUGUAAUUCAACUCACAUUUUUAACAGCUUUUUUUUUGGUUCUGUUAUGGUCUUGGAAAGAUCAGAUUUAUAAGAUCAGAUUUAUAGCUUCAACCUUGUUCUAGGCAAUGGAGUCGAAGAAGGGUAAACUUGUAAGGUUUUAUUCUGAUGGAAAACAAUAUAGAGAAACAUCAUGGGGAAAAAAUGAUCUUGUACACCCAGAGAUGUCUUCUGCAGACAAAGUUUCGUCGUCAUUGCUAAAAGCAGACAAUGGGAUGAUGGGUGGUAGAAAUAGAUUAACAGAGAGUAGCAAAGUUGGGAGGUCCAAGGUUUUUCCAGCAGACCAUGCAUCAUGGCAUCAUAGGAUGCUUGAUCCAGGAAGCGAUAUUGUGCUGCGAUGGAACAGGAUUUUCCUUGUCUCAUGCUUGCUGGCACUUUUUGUUGAUCCACUGUACUUUUACUUGCCUAUUGUUGGAGGGGAUGAAGAAUCUUUAUGUGUCAAUGGUGACUCAAAAUUGCGAAUAGUUGUAACAUUUUUUCGGACUGUUGCAGAUCUUUUUUAUUUGUUGCACAUGAUUAUAAAGUUCAGGACUGCUUAUGUUGCUCCAAACACUCGUGUCUUUGGGAGGGGCGAACUUGUUAUGGAUCCAAAGAAGAUUGCUUGGAGAUAUAUUAGAUCUGACUUCUUCAUUGAUCUUAUUGCCACACUGCCUCUACCUCAGAUUGUAAUCUGGUUUAUCAUACCAGCAGCAAGAAGUCGAACAACUGAUCAUAAGAACAAUGCACUUGCAUUAAUUGUUCUGCUACAAUAUAUUCCCAGAUUAUAUCUAAUUUUUCCUUUGAGUUCUGAAAUCAUUAAAGCAGCUGGAGUAGUCACAAGAACAGCUUGGGCAGGGGCUGUAUAUAAUUUGCUACUGUACAUGUUGGCAAGCCAUGUUUUAGGAGCAGCAUGGUAUUUGCUAUCUGUUGAUAGGUAUAAAUCUUGCUGGAAAUCAAAUUGUAGAGAGGAAAAUGAUCCUAUCAAAUGUUUCCUAAGUUAUUUAGAUUGUGAUACCUUUAACCAUGGUGAUCGCAAGACAUGGGCAAAUAGCACAAGUGUUUUCAAGAACUGUGAUCCAAGCAAUAAUAAUUUCGAUUAUGGUAUAUUUGAAGAUGCAGUGUCAAAAAAGGUUGUCUCCUCUAACUUCAUUGAAAAGUAUUUCUACUGCUUGUGGUGGGGCUUACAGCAACUAAGUUCAUAUGGGCAGAAUUUGUCGACUAGCACAUAUAUUGGUGAGACAUCAUUUGCCAUUCUCAUUUCCAUCUUGGGUCUUGUUCUCUUUGCCCACUUGAUUGGCAAUAUGCAGGUACUGGAAAAUGUUUUACUCAGGUUUCAUCAUCCUAUUUUUAUUGUGCUUUCUUACUCUCUUGGUUUGAAAUAAAUUGAAGCAUCUAUUUCGUUGUGUUUUCAGUUGUAGGUUUUUACUGAAAGUUUAUCAGUUUCCUAGUUCUCCUCCACCAAUUUGUACCAUCAUGCUACACAUUGAAAAAUAUGCUCUAGUUUCUCCAACCAUAGUUGAGUCAAUUGAAAAACCUUGCCCCUAAUUUAUUGGUUUAACAUGUUUAUGCAUUCCCAGGACUUAUACCUGAUGCAUUGCAAGUCUAGACUGUUUUUGUGGACACUAUAAUCUCCUUCCACCACCCCGCCCCCCCUCCCUCCCUCCCUAACCCUCAGAACUGUGCUAUCACAUUGUCAAGAUAUUUACUUUUGGCAGUUGACACUUUAUGUGAUGUCUGUUCCUGAAAAUAAGAAGCUUAGUACUAAAAAUUUGUUUCUUGCGUCUUGCAACCAAAUGGCUGAUCCUUUUUCUAUUCCCUUUCUUCAUACUCAUGAGUACAAGUUCGAAUGUUCUGAUGAUGCAUUCUUCACUAAACAUUUGAAGAAGCAAAAACGGUUAACAUUGAACUGAGCUAUAUUAUGCUUGUUACUUUCAAUGGCCAUUUCCUGAUGCUGGAAAAGUGAUAUUGCCCUUUAAAUGUCUUGGGCUUGCAAUCAAUAUAUUAAGGGGCCUUGGUGCCGGGAUAUAUUGCUUCUCAUAGAAGUGCUAAAUGAUAAGAUUGUGCCUAGAAUUUUAUUCCUAGGUUUGGUUGGACCAUAUUUGAGUGAUGCUUUUUGUAAUUGUUAGUGUAUCUAUAUUGUUUAAUGGUUUUAACAUUUGUUUAUGAGGUAGACAUACCUUCAGUCCCUUACCGUGAGACUUGAGGAGUGGAGGCUUAAGCGAAGAGAUACUGAGGAGUGGAUGAGGCAUCGCCAACUCCCUGAAGAUCUGAAAAGGCAGGUUAGACGUUUUGUUCAAUAUAAGUGGCUUGCAACUCGAGGAGUACAUGAAGAAUCUAUCCUGGGUGGUUUACCUGCUGAUCUUCGGCGUGAUAUCCAGCGCCACUUAUGCUUGGACCUUGUUCUACGUGUCCCUUUCUUCUCACAGAUGGAUGAUCAGUUGCUUGAUGCAAUAUGUGAGCGUCUGGUUUCUUCUCUUAGCACUGCAGGCACCUAUAUUGUACGUGAGGGUGACCCUGUAACAGAAAUGCUAUUUGUUAUCAGAGGCAGACUGGAGAGUUCUACUACCAAUGGAGGCCGAACUGGUUUCUUCAACUCAAUUACUUUGAUACCUGGGGAUUUUUGCGGAGAGGAGCUACUGGCUUGGGCAUUGCAUCCGAAAUCGUCUCUUAACUUGCCUUCCUCAACUAGGACAGUCAGAGCUCUAAAUGAAGUUGAAGCUUUCGCAUUGAGAGCUGAAGAUCUAAAGUUUGUUGCCAACCAAUUCAGACGUCUCCAUAGCAAAAGGCUGCAGCAUACAUUCAGGUAUCAUUCCCAUCAUUGGAGGACGUGGGCAGCCUGUUUCAUACAGGCUGCUUGGCUUCGGCAUAAGAGAAGGAUGAUGGAGAAUAAUCUUACCAUUUCAGAAUCCUUUGCUUUGGAUGGAAAAGAGACUAAUGAAACGGGGCAACGGGAAGGAGACCAUUUUUCAGAUGGUCCAAGUUCUCAGGCAAAAAUGAACCUUGGGGUCACAAUACUGGCUUCAAGAUUUGCUGCAAACACAAGGAGAGGAGCUCAAAAGAUUAAGGAUGCUGAGAUGCCAAAACUACGUAAGCCUGAUGAACCUGACUUUUUUGCUGAUGAUGAAUAGUGCUAGCUUUCUCUGCCAAAGGUGAAAGGCCAAAAUUGUUUCAUAAGAGCCAGAAAACAAUUUGAUGGCUCUGGAAUCCAAUAUCUUACACAAAUGAACUUCGCUGACAAUUUGAAUGUCCUUCCUUUUCCUGAGAGAAGAGGGGAAGAGAGCGAGAGGAACAUGGGGAGUGGUUUUAUUGUAUGCUGCGGUACCUUGUGAUUUUUUUUUUCCCUUUUUUUUAAUAAAAUCUUUAGCAAUCACCUCAAAAAAAAAAAGCAGAAGUACAAUUGUCACCAAAAUCUUGUCAUGUCAUCUGUCAGUUUGUCACUUCUUAUUUUAAGUGUACUUGGUUAUUAAGGGAUGAAUUGAAGAUAUACUUCCAAUUUUCCUUUACC
rnacentral:misc_RNA from 1 species